GACGAACCGAGCGAACGUUGUUCGGAAUCACUGGGCUUAAAGGGCGCGUAGGCGGGUGCUCAAGUCCGUGGUGAAAUCCUCCGGCUCAACCGGAGAACUGCCUCGGAUACUGGGUGUCUCGAGGGUGGUAGGGGUAUGCGGAACUAUCGGUGGAGCGGUGAAAUGCGUUGAUAUCGAUAGGAACUCCGGUGGCGAAGGCGGCAUACUGGACCACCUCUGACGCUGAGGCGCGAAAGCCAGGGGAGCAAACGGG
rnacentral:rRNA from 1 species